GCUUACGACCACACCGGCCUGAGUACGCCUGAUCUCGUCUGAUCUCUGAAGCUAAGCAGGGUUGGGCCUGGUUAGUACUUGGAUGGGAGACCGCCUGGGAAUACCAGGUGCUGUAAGCU
rnacentral:rRNA from 1 species